rnacentral:rRNA from 1 species
UACGGAGGGGGCAAGCGUUAUUCGGAAUUACUGGGCGUAAAGAGCGCGUAGGUGGUUUGUUAAGUCGCUCGUUUAAUGUCAGGGCUCAACCCUGGCGCUGCGGGCGAUACUGGCAGACUUGAGUGCUGGAGAGGGAAGCGGAAUUCCUAGUGUAGCGGUGAAAUGCAUAGAUAUUAGGAGGAACACCAGUGGCGAAGGCGGCUUCCUGGACAGUAACUGACACUGAGGCGCGAAAGCCAGGGGAGCGAACGGG